UGCUGUCACCAGCAUCCCAAUACCAAAACCCCAAAACAACCAGCUCAUAAAUGAAGUCUUGUAGAAUUAUAUUGGUUUUGAAUUUUUAAUUUUUUUCUCUCAGUCCUCCCUUUGUUUACACUUACUCUGAUUUUUGGGAUCUAUUUUUUUACAGUUCAAAGAAGUGGUCGAGCGUGUGAUCACUUGCGUCCACAGUCUCCGUGAGCGUUUGAAUGAGACCCUUCUUGCUCACAGGAACGAGAUUUUGGCCUUGCACUCAAGGAUUGAGGGUAAAGGAAAAGGAAAAGGAAAAGGAAUUCUGCAACACCAUCAAAUUAUUCUAGAGUUUGAAGCUAUCCUUAAAGAGAACAAAAAGAAGCUUGCUGAUGGUGCAUUUUUUGGAGUAUUGAAGCAGGCUAGUCAAGUAUAAGAAAACCCAUUUUCUCCAUUAAUUUUUUCAUUUUUUUGGGAGGUUGUAGGGUCUUGAUUUUAGGGUCAUUUUUGUGGUUAUAGAAAGCGAUUGUGUUGCCUCCAUGGGUUGCACUUGCUGUUCGUCCAAGGCCUGGUGUUUGGCAGUAGAUUAGAGUGAAUGGUCACGUCCUUUUUGUUGAGGAA